rnacentral:rRNA from 1 species
UACGGAGGGGGCUAGCGUUGUUCGGAAUUACUGGGCGUAAAGCGCGCGUAGGCGGACCUGCAAGUCGGGGGUGAAAGCCCGAGGCUCAACCUCGGAACUGCCUUCGAUACUGCGGGUCUCGAGUCCGGGAGAGGUGAGUGGAAUUCCUAGUGUAGAGGUGAAAUUCGUAGAUAUUGGGAGGAACGCGGGUGGCGAAGGCGGCGGGGUGGAGCGGAGCGGACGCUGAGGCGCGAAAGCGUGGGGAGCAAACGGG